CCAGUGACACUCUCGGGGUCGCGGUGGCCCCUGACGCUUGACGGCUGUGUCACAAAGAUUAAGGCUCUGGAGACACAGAGUGACCGGGGACAUAGGCCAGUCAGGGAGGCAGCAGCGUGCGGAUGACCACGGCCACGGGACGAGUUCUGAGAGGCGCAGAUGUGGAGGAGGGGUUGUGGCCGUUCCGCGAGUCAGGUUGAUCGGGCAUCUAGUCUUCCUGCUGCUGGGACAGAAGUGGCACUCUUCUAGGAAAAGCUCUUACAGAAAUGCCUGGGCACGCGGCCACUCUUCAGGGAGUCAGAGGUUGCUGAAGUCGAGGCGACAGGCUGUGAGGGGUCGUCCCCCUUUAAGGCAGAGCACGUGGCUUUGCUCUCUGCCAACGUGGAAGCAUGAGGGAGCCCGGGGGCGGGCGAAGUAGGGGAGUCCGUGGGAUCUUCACCCAGCUCCAACCUUAGCCCUUACCCCCUCCCUAAAAGGGCAGGAAGAGAGAACCUGAGAGGCCCCUGAGCCGCUCUGCUUCCUGCCACAGGUCAGCACGAGUGGUUUGUUAUCAACCCCAUCAGGUCUGACCCAACUGUCGUCAAGGCUCGAGUUCCGGCUCCGGCUCAGAGGUGGUUUAGGGGAGGGAAGAAGUUCUACGUUGGGCAGAAUUUGGAUGGGGUUUUGAGAUCCGGGAAAGCCAAAGCCGGGAUUGCCCCUCUCCGGGGAAAGCAAGGGAACCUCGUGCCGCAGCGACCCUCACUGCUCACGUACGUCCGCUCCUGUCAACGGAGCCCUCGGACACAGGAGUGUUGACAAACUCCGUGGACAAGUACCGAUCGCCAAAGUUGUCAAAAUCCCCACACCUGCGUACACUUGACAGUGGGCGAGAAACACCUCAAGCGCCACGUUGGGACAUCCAGAGAGCAAAUGGAUCCUUUCGUGAUUACAUAGGGUAAUAAGGUUCUGGCCACAUUCGAAGAUACAAAUAGGAGGGAAAAACGACAGCUGCGUAAUCCUCUCGAACAGCAAGAUAGAAGGACUGCACCGAGGAAGGGAGCAGGGGCGGACUUGGUGGGAAAGAAGAUGGAGACCCUGCCUGCCCCCUGACGUGGGGAAGCUCUCUGCAGACAGGGAGAGAAGUUCAGGAGGGCAGAGACACAAAGAGAAAGUUCAUAAGACCCCGAGGCUAUAAAGAUGCUUGUCCUCUAAUCAAAGAGGUACAUUUUAUUUAAAAAAUUUAAUAUGUAUUUGAGAGAGAGAGAUAGAGAGAGAGAGAGAGAGAGAGAGAGAGAGAGAGAAGGGGCAGAAGAGGAAGAGAAUCUCAAGCAGGCUCCACGCCUAGUAUGGACUUGAUCUCAUGCCCAGGAGAUCAUGACCCGAGCUGAAAUCGAGAGUGGGACUCUUAACCGACUGAGCCACCCGGGUGCCCCCAAAGAGUUACAUUUUAGGCCAGCAACGCUAUCUGCCUUAGGCAGCGCGGGUGGCAAAGCUUUAGAACGAUACUGAUCUGGGGUAGCAAGGUGGAGUGGGGUGUGGGUGGGGGGGCAGACUACUGGCACCCCCUGUGUUCCCCCAGAGCCUGACAGAAGGCGCACAGCUUUUGAUCCAGCGGUUCUGAGAACUUCUGAGAGAACUGUGUACAAAGAAUCACAUGCUUAGAUAACAAGGGUUCCCAUUCAUAGAUUUGAAUUCUACCCAAAGGAGAUCAAAUGUAUCAGUUUAACGGGGAUAUGGAAGAGACGGCGGCUAUUAAAACAGGGAAUAAUUCAAGAGGUCUACCUUUGUGGUAAGAAAACACACACGACACCCUUAAAGUUACAUAAUGUGAUUCCAUGUGGUAUCUAUAGAAUCGUGUUUAAGCACAGCAUCGAUGCAAUUCAUAGAACCCUUCUGUGCCAUUUGAAAUGCCUACGUGAGCCUGGAUGACGAAGGCCGUGGUAAGAAAGAAGAGUCAGUCCUGGAUGGAAGAACCAGAACCUUGACCCCUUCAGACCAAGUCAGUCUGGCUCCUUCACCCAACACCAAAGCUACGAAUCCUCAUAAUUUCACCCUGGCCCCCGAGUACAGGCCAGGAGGUCGGACAGCACUGGCCAUCCCUGGUCACAGCGGGAAGGCAGCCCCAGACAAGGGAAGUUCCUUGGCUAACUCCCACGGCAAGUGUCUAGAACACUCGGACCCGAAGAUCCAUGCUGCCACCCCCAGCUAACCUUUUCCCCAGCCCCUCCUCCUCUGGGCUAUAAACUGGUCUUCAGAGUUUAAGCAAAGCAUGAAGCUUGGGGCAGAGAAGAAAAAGUCUAGUAGUUUACGGCAUUCAGUAAAUGUUGUCAUAUGCUCCUUGA